CGAGAGCCUGACGGAGCAACGCCGCGUGAGGGAGGAAGGCCUGUGGGUUGUAAACCUCUUUUCUCAGGGAAGAAGUUCUGACGGUACCUGAGGAAUCAGCAUCGGCUAACUCCGUGCCAGCAGCCGCGGUAAGACGGAGGAUGCAAGCGUUAUCCGGAAUUAUUGGGCGUAAAGCGUCCGUAGGCGGUUAUAAAAGUCUGUUGUUAAAGCCCACAGCUCAACUGUGGAUGGGCGAUGGAAACUAUAUGACUAGAGAGUGGUAGGGGUAGAGGGAAUUCCUAGUGUAGCGGUGAAAUGCGUAGAUAUUAGGAAGAACACCAGUGGCGAAGGCGCUCUACUGGGCCAUUACUGACGCUGAUGGACGAAAGCU
rnacentral:rRNA from 1 species